rnacentral:rRNA from 1 species
UGAUCCAGCCAUGCCGCGUGAGUGAUGAAGGCCUUCGGGUGUAAAGCUCUUUCACCCGUGACGAUGAUGACGGUAGCGGGAGAAGAAGCCCCGGCUAACUCCGUGCCAGCAGCCGCGGUAAUACGGAGGGGGCAAGCGUUGUUCGGAAUUACUGGGCGUAAAGGGCGCGUAGGCGGCCUGUUGCGUCAGGUGUGAAAUCCCCGGGCUCAACCUGGGAAUGGCACUUGAUACGGGCAGGCUGGAAUCCGGGAGAGGAUGGUGGAAUUCCCAGUGUAGAGGUGAAAUUCGUAGAUAUUGGGAAGAACACCGAUGGCGAAGGCAGCCAUCUGGACCGGUAUUGACGCUGAGGCGCGACAGCGUGGGGAGCAAACAGGAUUAGAUACCCUGGUAGUCCACGCCGUAAACGAUGUGCGCUAGCCGUCGGGCAGCAUGCUGUUCGGUGGCGCAAGCUAACGCGUUAAGCGCACCGCCUGGGGAGUACGGCCGCAAGGUUA